GACGAACGCUGGCGGCGUGCUUAACACAUGCAAGUCGAACGAAGAGCGAUGGAAGCUUGCUUCUAUCAAUCUUAGUGGCGAACGGGUGAGUAACGCGUAAUCAACCUGCCCUUCAGAGGGGGACAACAGUUGGAAACGACUGCUAAUACCGCAUACGAUCUAAUCUCGGCAUCGAGGAUAGAUGAAAGGUGGCCUCUACAUGUAAGCUAUCACUGAAGGAGGGGAUUGCGUCUGAUUAGCUAGUUGGAGGGGUAACGGCCCACCAAGGCGAUGAUCAGUAGCCGGUCUGAGAGGAUGAGCGGCCACAUUGGGACUGAGACACGGCCCAGACUCCUACGGGAGGCAGCAGUGGGGAAUCUUCCGCAAUGGACGAAAGUCUGACGGAGCAACGCCGCGUGAGUGAUGACGGCCUUCGGGUUGUAAAGCUCCGUUAAUCGGGACGAAAGGCCUUCUUGCGAAUAGUGAGAAGGAUUGACGGUACCGGAAUAGAAAGCCACGGCUAACUACGUG
rnacentral:rRNA from 1 species